GAUGAACGCUGGCGGCGUGCUUAACACAUGCAAGUCGAGCGAGUGAGUUCUUCGGAACGAUCUAGCGGCGGACGGGUGAGUAACACGUGGGCAACCUGCCUCAUAGAGGGGGAUAGCCUCCUGAAAGGGAGAUUAAUACCGCAUAAAAUUAUCGAGUGGCAUCACAUGAUAAUCAAAGGAGUAAUCCGCUAUGAGAUGGGCCCGCGGCGCAUUAGCUAGUUGGUGAGGUAACGGCUCACCAAGGCGACGAUGCGUAGCCGACCUAAGAGGGUGAUCGGCCACAUUGGGACUGAGACACGGCCCAGACUCCUACGGGAGGCAGCAGUGGGGAAUAUUGCACAAUGGGGGAAACCCUGAUGCAGCAACGCCGCGUGAGUGAUGAAGGUCUUCGGAUUGUAAAGCUCUGUCUUUGGGGACGAUAAUGACGGUACCCAAGGAGGAAGCCACGGCUAACUACGUGCCAGCCGCCGCCGUAA
rnacentral:rRNA from 1 species